rnacentral:tRNA from 1 species
UCCUCAGUAGCUCAGUGGUAGAGCGGUCGGUAGAGCGGUCGGCUGUUAACUGAUUGGUCGUAGGUUCGAAUCCUACUUGGGGAG